rnacentral:rRNA from 1 species
UACGAAGGGGGCUAGCGUUGCUCGGAAUCACUGGGCGUAAAGCGCACGUAGGCGGAUUGUUAAGUCAGGGGUGAAAUCCUGGAGCUCAACUCCAGAACUGCCUUUGAUACUGGCGAUCUUGAGUCCGGGAGAGGUGAGUGGAACUCCGAGUGUAGAGGUGAAAUUCGUAGAUAUUCGGCGGAACACCAGUGGCGAAGGCGACUCACUGGCCCGAUACUGACGCUGAGGCGCGAAAGCGUGAGGAGCAAACAGG